rnacentral:rRNA from 1 species
CAGCAGCCGCGGGAAUACGUAGGGUGCAAGCGUUAAUCGGAAUUACUGGGCGUAAAGCGUGCGCAGGCGGUUAUAUAAGACAGAUGUGAAAUCCCCGGGCUCAACCUGGGAACUGCAUUUGUGACUGUAUAGCUAGAGUACGGCAGAGGGGGAUGGAAUUCCGCGUGUAGCAGUGAAAUGCGUAGAUAUGCGGAGGAACACCGAUGGCGAAGGCAAUCCCCUGGGCCUGUACUGACGCUCAUGCACGAAAGCGUGGGGAGCAAACAGGAUUAGAUACCCCAGUAGUCCCUGUCUCUUAUAU